rfam:Schistosoma curassoni strain Dakar, Senegal genome assembly, scaffold: SCTD_scaffold0005512
AUCCAGCUGAUGAAUCUCAAACAGGACAAAACACGCGUCCUAGAU